AAAAUACUUAUAACGCAGACAAGUAAUCUUUCUUUUUCGAAAUAACAGAGACUUUUUCAUUGCUGAAAGAAAAGGCAAAAAGAUGGAAUGAAACACAACUGCUAGGUCAUUUUCUGAACAAAAAUUAGUGAUUAGGAAAAUGCGGAAGCUACCGUUAACCAGCACAGUUAUUAACAACUGACAGAGACUAAUUUUGUGAAGAAUUGGUGAACUGAGGUGGAACCACGAAUUUUCGUCCUCUUA
rnacentral:ncRNA from 1 species